AAGUGGAUUUCGGAACGAAAUGGUGUUCUAGAUAAGGUGAAAAACACAUCCAGCAACAAUAACAAUAAUCGCGUUAGGAAAGGAAGGCGUAACCAAAGAAUAAGCGUUUUGUAAACAAACAGUGCGAGCAAAACGGAAUGCCAAAAAACGCCAGCGAUUUUCGGACGAGACGGGCAAAAACGUCGAUCGAAAUGUUUACACAAGCCGAAAGUAAUUACAUAAAGCAACUAGGCAAAAAAGAAAAAAAAAUAUUGUCUAUUUACAAGUCCAAUUGAAGGCUGUCGAUAAAAAGCACAAACAAAGAAACACAAUGAUCUUAACUUCAAGAGCAAAAACUUUGGCAAGAGCGAAAAGCGAGAAAUCAGUGAAACGGUAACCCAUUUUAUCCGCUUUUAACCGCUUUUACUACCUUCAAAUACAAUGGAACAGAUAAAACAUAAUAAAGAGACUUGAGAAUGACGUGGA